UCCCCGCUAGCUCAGUUGGUAGAGCAGGUGACUGUUAAUCACCGGGUCGCUGGUUCGAAUCCGGCGCGGGGAGCCA
rnacentral:tRNA from 1 species